rnacentral:rRNA from 1 species
GAGAGAGAGACAUGCGCGCAUAUCAAUAAGCGGAGGAAAAGAAACUAACAAGGAUUCCCCUUAGUAACGGCGAGUGAAGCGGGAAGAGCUCAAAUUUGAAAUCUUCAAGGGUUUACCUUUACGAAUUGUAGUUUAAAGAAGUGUUUUCUGUUGAGGUUUUGGUAAAAGUUCUUUGGAAUAGGACAUCAUAGAGGGUGAGAAUCCCGUAUUUGACCAUUACUUUCCAACUUUGUGAUACACUUUCAAAGAGUCGGAUUGUUUGGGAAUGCAGUCCAAAAUGGGUGGUAAAUUUCAUCUAAAGCUAAAUAUUGGCGAGAGACCGAUAGCGAACAAGUACCGUGAGGGAAAGAUGAAAAGAACUUUGAAAAGAGAGUUAAACAGUACGUGAAAUUGUCAAAAGGGAAGCGUUUGACACCAGUGUUGUUUUCUCGAAAAUCAAUUAAAAAGAGUUAGGAUUUUGUUGUGUAUUGACCUUAUCAGCUUCUGCAUUCAUUUUCUUGUCUUUUUUUAAUGCACUUUUCGUUUAACAAGUCAACAUCAAUUUCUUUUGUUGUAAAAGGGUCAUUGGAAGGUGGCUUUCUUUUCGGAGAAAGUGUUUAUAGCCUUUGGCCUCUGCAAUCGGAGAGAUUGAGGUCUGCAGCGUAGAUCCUUCGGGGUUAGAUACAUUUGUGCUAAGUUAUAGCCUUUCAUAGACAACUUGUUGACUAUGAUCAGUCAUGUAGCUUACUCGCUUAUGUUAUUUUACCUACGCUUAGGAUGUUGAUGUGAUACUGCGAGCA